CGUGCCUGCAACCCUUGCACGCUGCACACGCGCUAUCCCCGUGCACUGCACACGCGUGAUCCCCAUGCACUGCGUGCCUGCAAUCCCCGUGCACUGCACACGCGUGAUCCCCGUGCACUGCGUGCCUGCAAUCCCCGUGCACUGCACACGCGUGAUCCCUGCGCACUGCACACGCGUGAUCCCCGCGCACUGCAUGCCUGCAACCCUUGCACGCUGCACGCCUGCAAUCCCCGUGCACUGCACACGCGUGAUCCCCGUGCACUGCGUGCCUGCAACCCUUGCACGCUGCACGCCUGCAAUCCCCGUGCACUGCACACGCGUGAUCCCUGUGCACUGCAUGCCUGCAACCCUUGCACACUGCACACGCGUGAUCCCCGUGCACUGCACACGCGUGAUCCCCGCGCACUGCAUGCCUGCAACCCUUGCACGCUGCACGCCUGCGAUCCCCGUGCACUGCACACGCGUGAUCCCCGUGCACUGCACACGCGUGAUCCCCGCGCCCUGCAUGCAUGCAGUCCCCGUGCACUGCACACGCUGUAUACGCGUCCCAACGCACUGCACACGCACUGCACACGCUGUAUACGCGUCCCAACGCACUGCACACGCACUGCACACGCUGUAUAUACACGCACACGCACUGCACACGCACUGCACACGCACCCCAGCAUGUUGCACGCACUGCACACGCGCUGCGCAGAGCCCGGGGCACUGCAUGCACACGCACUGCAUGCACACGCACUGCAUGCACUGCACCCCCAGCCCCGUGCCCAGUGCCCUGGGCACCCGCUGCACCCGUGCACCAGGCGCAGCGCCUGGCGCGUGUCACAGGUGCCACCCGGCACUGCACCCAGCCCCGGGGCACUGCGCGUGCCUGGGGCACUGCAUGCACCCCCCCGAUUCACUGCAUGCACCCUGAGCACGGCAUGCACCCCCGAACCACUGCACCCACCUCAGGGCACUGCACCCCCCCCAAAUCACUGCACACCCCAAACCCCACUGCACCUGACUCGGGGCACUGCACGCCCCCCCAAAACACUGCAGCCAACUCAGGGGCACUGCAGGCCCCCCCAAAAUCAUUGCACACCCCCAAAUCACUGCAUGCCCCCCAAAACACUGCAGCCAACUUGGUGGCAUUUCAGGCCCCCCCCAAAAUCACUGCACAGCCCCAAAUCACUGCACAGCCCCCNNNNNNNNNNNNNNNNN
rnacentral:lncRNA from 1 species